rnacentral:rRNA from 1 species
UCGCGGCCUAUCAGCUUGUUGGUGGGGUAACGGCCUACCAAGGCAUCGACGGGUAGCUGGUCUGAGAGGAUGAUCAGCCACACUGGGACUGAGACACGGCCCAGACUCCUACGGGAGGCAGCAGUGGGGAAUCUUGCGCAAUGGGCGAAAGCCUGACGCAGCAACGCCGCGUGCGGGAAGAAGGCUCUCGGGUUGUAAACCGCUUUCAGAAGGAACGAAACUGACGGUACUUUCAGAAGAAGGUGCGGCCAACUACGUGCCAGCAGCCGCGGUGACACGUAGGCACCAAGCGUUGUCCGGAUUUAUUGGGCGUAAAGAGCUCGUAGGCGGUUCAGUAAGUCGGGUGUGAAAACUUUGGGCUUAACCCAAAGCCUGCAUCCGAUACUGCUGUGACUUGAGUACGGUAGGGGAGCGGGGAAUUUCUAGUGUAGCGGUGAAAUGCGCAGAUAUUAGAAGGAACACCGGUGGCGAAGGCGCCGCUCUGGGCCGUAACUGACGCUGGGGAGCGAAAGCGUGGGUAGCAAACAGGAUUAGAUACCCUGGUAGUCCACGCCGUAAACGUUGGGCACUAGGUGUGGGUCUCAACCAACGAGAUCCGCGCCGUCGCUAACGCAUUAAGUGCCCCGCCUGGGGAGUACGG